ensembl:snoRNA
GUCCAAACUGAUGUAUCUAGAAGAUAACUCCUGUUUCAGGACUGUAGAAACUUGGAAGAUAAUCUGGCAUGCCUGAGGUCUGGGGAACAAGGGUUGCUUAUGCCUUUGCCUGCCUAUAUGU